UACGUAGUUGGCAAGCGUUGUCCGGAAUUAUUGGGCGUAAAGAGCUCGUAGGCGGUUUGUCACGUCGGAUGUGAAAACCCGAGGCUUAACCUCGGGCCUGCAUUCGAUACGGGCUGACUAGAGUUCGGUAGGGGAGACUGGAAUUCCUGGUGUAGCGGUGAAAUGCGCAGAUAUCAGGAGGAACACCGGUGGCGAAGGCGGGUCUCUGGGCCGAUACUGACGCUGAGGAGCGAAAGCGUGGGGAGCGAACAGG
rnacentral:rRNA from 1 species